UACGAAGGACCCAAGCGUUAUCCGGAUUCAUUGGGUUUAAAGGGUGCGUAGGCGGGCCUAUAAGUCAGUGGUGAAAGCCCUUCGUUUAACGAAGGAAUUGCCAUUGAUACUGUAGGUCUUGAGUACAGUUGAGGUGGGCGGAAUGUGUCAUGUAGCGGUGAAAUGCUUAGAUAUGACACAGAACACCGAUUGCGAAGGCAGCUCGCUAAACUGUAACUGACGCUGAGGCACGAAAGCGUGGGUAGCAAACAGG
rnacentral:rRNA from 1 species